UAGGGCCCUGGUCUAAAGUAGUGUACUAUAUAGGGAAUAGGGCCCUGGUCUAGAGUAGUGCACUAUAUAGGGAAUAGGGCUCUAGAGUAGUGUACUAUAUAGUAUAUAGGGAAUAUGGUGGCAUUUAGGACAUAAGUGUAUGUAAUAAUGUUCAUGUAAAGGAGGUUAGGCCCAUGUACAUAAUCCACCUACAGCGUCUGUUCCAAAGCCCCUGUGUUGCUGUACUUGCACCCUGCUUCAGUCGGAGCUGUCAUCCUGUGUGUUUCCAUUAGACUCCUCUCUAAACAUGUAGCUACGUUGUCCUCUUUCUGGAUGGUGGCCUGUGUUGCUGUACUGGCACCCUGCUUCAGUCGGAGCUGUCAUCCAGUGUGUUUCCAUUAGACUCCUCUCUAAACAUGUAGCUACGUUGUCCUCUUCCUGGAUGGUGGCCUGUGUUGCUGUACUGGCACCCUGCUUCAGUCGGAGCUGUCAUCCAGUGUGUUUCCAUUAGACUCCUCUCUAAACAUGUAGCUACGUUGUCCUCUUUCUGGAUGGUGGCCUGUGUUGCUGUACUGGCACCCUGCUUCAGUCGGAGCUGUCAUCCAGUGUGUUUCCAUUAGACUCCUCUCUAAACAUGUAGCUACGUUGUCCUCUUCCUGGAUGGUGUCCUGUGUUGCUGUACUUGCACCCUGCUUCAGUCGGAGCUGUCAUCCAGUGUGUUUCCAUUAGACUCCCCUCUAAACAUGUAGCUACGUUGUCCUCUUUCUGGAUGGUGGCCUGUGAAUCCCCCCGUAUUCAUUCAGGGGUGCUGUGUGCUCAACUGUUGUGCUGCUGUGUUUGUGUGGCGUCAGGUACGCGUCUCGGAUGACAGUGCAGUUGUUGAAAGCCCUGGAUGUCUUGUCAGGCCGGCUGAGAUGUCUUCACUGUUGUCUCUGUAGCGUUGUGGCUGUGGCAUGCUGGGUAAGUGGUUGACAGAAAAAGGUAAUGCUACUCGUAUAAACAUAGGUGAUUAUAUGAAAGUUGAGGAUUCUAAUUAUUAAUUAAUUAUCAAGGUGGAUGAGGUGCAAUUUGUAGCACUGGAAAGACCACCUCUCCUUGACUAGUUUAUAUAGGCUUAUAUUAACAAAUAGCUAUACACACAAUACAAUGUCAUUCAUAGACAUUUCACCAAAAAAAUCUAAUUUGCCAAAAAAUCUUCUCCCUGUUUCCCUCAGUGAUGUUGAAAAGUUAAUAAAUGUGGAGCUCAUUUUGUUCUCUUUUAGAGUCAGUCACUUUAUCUGAAGGAAAACUAUUAAGGACUUCCUGAAGAACGUGAUUGGACACUGACAAGUGGUUUACCAGCUGUGGCUAACAAUGUUGGAUGUGGGCCGCCAGUGGGCCACUACAUGGUUGCUAGCUGGAGGGAUAGUAUCUGGGUGACACUGGCCAAAGACAUUGAUAGUUCACCAUGGACUGCUGUUCAGGUCAGCUUGUCACAUAUCCUCGACUGAGGGAUGACCAUAGAGACGUACUAGAGAGCUCAUCUAUCUAAACAGGCUUGUCACAUAUCCUCGACUGAGGGAUGACCAUAGAGACGUUCUAGAGAGCUCAUCUUCUAAUCUAAACAGGCUUGGUUGAAAUGGCUGAUCCUCUUGUUGUGAUGUUAACAGUAACCAGCUGUAUUUGUCACAGUUUUCACAGAUUCCCUUAAGAUGUGACUCUGUACCCCAGUACUACAGAUUCCUUUAUUAAAAGAUGUGACUCUGUACCACAGUAUUACAGAUUCCUUUAUUAAUAGAUGUGACUCUGUACCACAGUAUUACAGAUUCCUUUAUUAAAAGAUGUGACUCUGUACCACAGUACUACAGAUUCCUUUAUUAAUAGAUGUGACUCUGUACCACAGUACUACAGAUUCCUUUAUUAAAAGAUGUGACUCUGUACCACAGUAUUACAGAUUCCUUUAUUAAAAGAUGUGACUGUACCACAGUACUACAGAUUCCUUUAUUAAAAGAUGUGACUCUGUACCCCAGUACUACAGAUUCCUUUACUAAAAGAUGUGACUCUGUACCACAGUACUACAGAUUCCUUUAUUAAAAGAUGUGACUCUGUACCACAGUACUACAGAUUCCUUUACUAAAAGAUGUGACUCUGUACCACAGUACUACAGAUUCCUUUAUUAAAAGAUGUGACUCUGUACCACAGUACUACAGAUUCCUUUACUAAAAGAUGUGACUCUGUACCACAGUACUACAGAUUCCUUUAUUAAAAGAUGUGACUCUGUACCACAGUACUACAGAUUCCUUUACUAAAAGAUGUGACUCUGUACCACAGUACUACAGAUUCCUUUAUUAAAAGAUGUGACUCUGUACCACAGUACUACAGAUUCCUUUACUAAAAGAUGUGACUCUGUACCACAGUACUACAGAUUCCUUUAUUAAAAGAUGUGACUCUGUACCACAGUACUACAGAUUCCUUUAUUAAAAGAUGUGACUCUGUACCACAGUACUACAGAUUCCUUUAUUAAAAGAUGUGACUGUACCACAGUAUUACAGAUUCCUUUAUUAAAAGAUGUGACUCUGUACCACAGUACUACAGAUUCCUUUAUUAAAAGAUGUGACUCUGUACCACAGUAUUACAGAUUCCUUUAUUAAAAGAUGUGACUCUGUACCACAGUAUUACAGAUUCCUUUAUUAAAAGAUGUGACUCUGUACCACAGUAUUACAGAUUCCUUUAUUAAAAGAUGUGACUCUGUACCACAGUACUACAGAUUCCUUUAUUAAAAGAUGUGACUCUGUACCACAGUACUACAGAUUCCUUUAUUAAAAGAUGUGACUCUGUACCACAGUACUACAGAUUCCUUUAUUAAAAGAUGUGACUCUGUACCACAGUACUACAGAUUCCUUUAUUAAAAGAUGUGACUCUGUACCACAGUACUACAGAUUCCUUUACUAAAAGAUGUGACUCUGUACCACAGUACUACAGAUUCCUUUACUAAAAGAUGUGACUGUACCACAGUACUACAGAUUCCUUUACUAAAAGAUGUGACUGUACCACAGUACUACAGAUUCCUUUACUAAAAGAUGUGACUCUGUACCACAGUACUACAGAUUCCUUUAUUAAAAGAUGUGACUCUGUACCACAGUACUACAGAUUCCUUUAUUAAAAGAUGUGACUCUGUACCCCAGUACUACAGAUUCCUUUAUUAAAAGAUGUGACUCUGUACCACAGUACUACAGAUUCCUUUAUUAAAAGAUGUGACUCUGUACCACAGUACUACAGAUUCCUUUAAGAUGUGACUGUACCACAGUACUACAGAUUCCUUUAAGAUGUGACUGUACCACAGUACUACAGAUUCCUUUAAGAUGUGACUGUACCACAGUACUACAGAUUCCUUUAAGAUGUGACUGUACCACAGUACUACAGAUUCCUUUACUAAAAGAUGUGACUCUGUACCACAGUACUACAGAUUCCUUUAUUAAUAGAUGUGACUCUGUACCACAGUACUACAGAUUCCUUUAUUAAAAGAUGUGACUCUGUACCACAGUACUACAGAUUCCUUUAUUAAAAGAUGUGACUCUGUACCACAGUACUACAGAUUCCUUUAUUAAAAGAUGUGACUCUGUACCACAGUACUACAGAUUCCUUUACUAAAAGAUGUGACUCUGUACCACAGUACUACAGAUUCCUUUACUAAAAUAUGUGACUCUGUACCACAGUACUACAGAUUCCUUUAUUAAAAGAUGUGACUCUGUACCACAGUACUACAGAUUCCUUUAUUAAAAGAUGUGACUCUGUACCACAGUACUACAGAUUCCUUUACUAAAAGAUGUGACUCUGUACCACAGUAUUACAGAUUCCUUUAUUAAAAGAUGUGACUCUGUACCACAGUACUACAGAUUCCUUUACUAAAAGAUGUGACUCUGUACCACAGUAUUACAGAUGGAUCUUAUAUUUUCUUGUAAAUUAAUCGUUGUUGAUCAUUUUGAUCGAGACAUAAAUAUUUUAAGAACUAUUUUAAAUAUAGACUUUAUUUUCCAUUUCUAGGUAAAGAAAAGGUCCAGAUCUAGUUAGCGUUUACUAAUUAAACAACAUCUCUCAUCCGUUUCCUUUUAAAAAGAAAUGAAAGAACAUCUCUUUUUCAGUUUUGUUGUACAACCAUUAUACGUUAUGUAAUGGGGGAAGAAAUCACAAAACUGGUUAUGAAUUAAAAACACUAUUUUAUAUAUCCUGAAUGGCACAUAUAUCUAUAGUACUUCAUUAUAUUGUGGAGAGCAUAUUUUUUAGGGAGGGUAACUGGAGUAGCGAGUUGUAGGCUGAAUAGAAACCAUUUAAGAUGCUAGAGGUAGCUACAGUAUAGAAAGAGCUCAUACUGCUGAGACAACUCACAACGUCUGGGCGCGGUUACCAGAGAGGAAACCAACCGUCUUGUUGAGGAUUUACAUUUGAAUCAAAACGCUUCGCCCUUCUUGAAGAUGUAAUGUUUCCCCCUGAUCCCACAUCAUGCUAGCAAGACAAGGCUCCAUUAGAAACGUGUUGAAUGUGGGUCCUUUGCUGCUUGUGCGUCCGUCCGUCCGUCCGUCCACGCGGCACGGGACAGGUCAAAGGGCAUGCUCCACUAGUAGAAUGGAAGCAUGCUGUUUUGACCUCUCACCUUUGACCUCUGACUCUCGACCUCCACUUUGACUGACAGCGUCCACUUUGAGCUGCAUAGGUUAUAACUUCCAUAUGAACCUUGAUAGACAGGACUUAACUAACCCAGAACAACAACCCUACAUUAGUUCGAUGUCAACAAACCCCCCCCCCCCCCACCCCCCCCCCCACCCCCCCAAGAGUAGCAAAAUCAGGAGCACCUUUCUUCUAAAGUCCUCUUCUUAAAAGACUGUUAGUAUAUUAAAACUAUUGAUUAUAAUGAUCAUUAUUAUGCAGACGUGUCGGAGACAACAUUUCUAGAGGAGAUCACUAUUUUGCACAUACACCACUAUCUAGUUUGACUAUGACUGCUCUUACAAGAUAAAAGGCGCUGUCUAGAGAACCAUUUUGGGUUCCACGUAGAACCCUUUCAAUGGAGGGUUCUAAAUGGAACCAAAAAAAGGGUUCUGUCUGGAACCUUAAAGGGUUAUUUGGCUGUCUCCAUAGGAGAACCCUUUUGGGUUCCACGUAGAACCCUUUCAAUGGAGGGUUCUAAAUGGAACCAAAAAAAGGGUUCUGUCUAGAACCAAAAAGAGUUCUCCUAUGGGGUCAGCUGAAUUAACCCCUUGUGGAACCAUUUUUUUCUAAGAAUAUACACAGAGGAUAUGAGAGGAAAGAGUUUUAAGAAGUUAUGUCUCGAUUUAAAAGAUAGCAUGAAUAUGACUGUCUGAAAUAGCACCCAUUCCCUUUAUAGUGCACUACGUUUGACCACUGAAGGCCACUGGUCUAAAGUAGUGCCCUUAUGUAGGGAAUAGGGUUCCAUUUGAGAAUCAGACUAGGACUCGUUUUCAAGAGGCCUUACUGGCCAGUGAGCAGGUGUCAGUUGGUUGAAUCAGACUAGGACUCGUUUUCAAGAGGCCUUACUGGCCAGUGAGCAGGUGUCAGUUGGUUGAAGCAGACUAGGACUCGUUUUCAAGAGGCCUUACUGGCCAGUGAGUAGGUGUCAGUUGGUUGAAUCAGACUAAGACUCGUUUUCAAGAGGCCUUACUGGCCAGUGAGCAGGUGUCAGUUGGUUGAAGCAGACUAGGACUCGUUUCAAGAGGCCUUACUGGCCAGUGAGCAGGUGUCAGUUGGUUGAAUCAGACUAGGACUCGUUUUCAAGAGGCCUUACUGGCCAGUGAGCAGGUGUCAGUUGGUUGAAUCAGACUAGGACUCGUUUUCAAGAGGCCUUACUGGCCAGUGAGCAGGUGUCAGUUGGUUGAAUCAGACUAAGACUCGUUUUCAAGAGGCCUUACUGGCCAGUGAGCAGGUGUCAGUUGGUUGAAUCAGACUAGGACUCGUUUUCAAGAGGCCUUACUGGCCAGUGAGCAGGUGUCAGUUGGUUGAAUCAGACUAGGACUCGUUUUCAAGAGGCCUUACUGGCCAGUGAGCAGGUGUCAGUUGGUUGAAUCAUGAACUCUCCCUCUGUUUCUUCCAGGUCGGGUUAAGAUAAAUAUUGCACCGUUAUACUGUAGCAUUCCACAGUACGGUUCCAGAUUCCACAUGGAGCAAACACAGUAUUUUGAUAUAAAAUAUUCAGACAUAUUUUAAGAUCACUUUAUUGAGGUUUAACUGUCUUUUCCAACAUAAGUCGUUUUUCUGGUUUGAUUUGACCUUCCUAAAGCCACGUCGGAGAGAGAUUAUUGUUUACCUGGUAUGGAUAACAGAACACCGAGGAUGAGUAGUUGACUAUUGGUGAUGAAGAGGGGUUUGUGUGACUAUCAUAAGUCAUAAAUAGUUUUGGGGGGGGGGGGGGGGGGGGGGGGGGGUUGGUUAAUGUUGAGUUAAAGACGUUGUUUUAUUGGUCCGCGUCUCACUUUAAGGCAGUAGUAGAACGUUGUACCCAUCAGGUUUAAACAUGUCUGUAAUACAUUUAAAUACUUCAGUAAUGCCCUAAAUCGUGAUUUAGUCAAUCAUGCACAGAAUCAGAAGACUGACUGGUGGAAGUGGAAGGAUAGACCACUUUUUGGCAAAGUCGUCUGUCCUUAUUGCGUUUAUAUGUGAAAGAACUACUCACGAGAAACAACAAAAGUAUUUUUUUUUGUGAUAUUAGUAGUGGCACUACUGUUAAAUGUAGUAUUUUAAGAAGAACAGCACUAUUUAUGGUCAUUAAAAUGAACUAGAAUGUGUAUUGUGCAUUAUGGUAGCUUUGGAGGCAGCCAUCUUGUUUUGUAUCAAUCUCCUCAUGCUCAGAGACAGUCACUCACUUCAUGUAAGGGGUGUGACUAGUUUUUGGGGAGUUGUUGAGUGGACUUGCCCAAAUCCGAGCCCCCUUUUUCUCCUUUGAAUGACAAGUCUGCAUGGUCUCACCAACAGACAUUACCGCCCAUUCCCUCAAAUCAUACUUUUUUUUAUUUUCUAUAAAGAAAAACAAUUCUAUGACUUUAUUUUUAAUUUCUUGUUUCAUUCUUUCAUUUAAACCAAUUUUUAAAGAGAAAGAAUACAAUAAAUACAAAUCUGAAUAUUCAAUCACUUUUUCUACUUCUAUUUUCAAAAUAACUGAAAAAAAAACGAAAUAAAAAGUUGAUUUGUAUAUAAGUGAUGUACAGUUUGUAUCUGUUAAUGUCAGUCUGUCUUUGGUGACAGAGUCCGUCUUGCUUAUAACGCACGCUACCAGUAAAUAAAACAUGACAAAUAUAUUUAGACUGUACGGUCCUUGAAAGCAAGUUUUAAAUUAAUCUGAUGUAUAUUCCUGUAACAUUGCAUUUUUAUCUGAGGAAUUAUGUUAUUAAAAAAUUGCUAAUAAAUUGCAUUUCCUACA